GAAGAAGAACGCAGCGAAAUGCGAUAAGUAAUGUGAAUUGCAGAAUUCAGUGAAUCAUCGAAUCUUUGAACGCACCUUGCACUCCUUGGUAUUCCGAGGAGUACGCCUGUUCGAGUGUUAUGAAGCUCUCAAAACGCAAUUGGCUUAAAACCUGAUUGUUGUUUUGGAUUUGAACUUUGCCGUGUUAUAACGGCUGGUUUUAAAAGUAUUAGCUGGUACUAGAACGAAUUGGUUCUACUCAACGUGAUAAUUAUCUGAUCGUUGAGGACAUUCCUUUCACGAGGAAUGGCCAUAGUAAAUUCAAUGGACUGCUUCUAAUCUGGCUUUAAUUCUUUAUUGGAUUAACCACUUUUCAAAUCUGACCUCGAAUCAGGUGGGACUACCCGCUGAACUUAAGCAUAUCAAUAAGCGGAGGA
rnacentral:misc_RNA from 1 species